GGUGAACGCUGGCGGCGUGCUUAAGACAUGCAAGUCGAACGCAGUCUUCGGACUGAGUGGCGCACGGGUGAGUAACACGUAACUGACCUACCCCCAAGUCGCGGAUAACUGGCCGAAAGGUCAGCUAAUACGUGAUGUGAUGUCCCCUUUCUGGGGGGCCAUUAAAGGUUUACUGCUUGGGGAUGGGGUUGCGUUCCAUCAGCUAGUUGGCGGGGUAAAGGCCCACCAAGGCAACGACGGAUAGCCGGCCUGAGAGGGUGGCCGGCCACAGGGGCACUGAGACACGGGUCCCACUCCUACGGGAGGCAGCAGUUAGGAAUCUUCCACAAUGGGCGAAAGCCUGAUGGAGCGACGCCGCGUGAGGGAUGAAGGUUCUCGGAUCGUAAACCUCUGAAUCAGGGACGAAAGACGCGUAGGCGGGAUGACGGCACCUGAGUAAUAGCACCGGCUAACUCCGUGCCAGCAGCCGCCGUAA
rnacentral:rRNA from 1 species